rnacentral:lncRNA from 1 species
GGUUAAUGCCUUUUCCAACUCCAAUGACGAGACAUGGACUUAGCUUGUUAUGACUUGCAUAUGUGAUCUAUGCUUGAUUAUAUGUGUGCACAUAACUUAUUGUUAGGUUGGUUCAUCAUAGUAGAGAAGCAUAUAGAUUAUUCGAUUAACUUGCAUGCCUUAUUUGUGAGCUUUUGAGCCUAAUAUCCAUAGUGUAUGCAUCGUUCAUUCACUUAUUCUUUCAUGUGUGUACAAUUUCAUGACAAUGUGUAUUUAGAACUUGCUUGAGACCUCUUGAGGCUACUUUUAGCUUGCGACAUGAUAGAAAGGAUGGAGGCAUUAAGACUAUAUACCACCAUGGCCAAAGAAGCAUGUGCCUAAAGAUAUUUACCACUAGAUUGCCACUUUGAGCCUAUGUAUAUAUUUUAGCCUU